rnacentral:rRNA from 1 species
UACGGAGGGGGCUAGCGUUGUUCGGAAUUACUGGGCGUAAAGGGCGCGCAGGCGGCUGCUCAAGUCAGGCGUGAAAGGCCUGGGCUCAACCCGGGAAUUGCGCUUGAGACUGGGCUGGCUUGAGUGCGGGAGAGGAUGGUGGAAUUCCCAGUGUAGUGGUGAAAUACGUAGAGAUUGGGAAGAACACCAGUGGCGAAGGCGGCUAUCUGGACGGUUUCUGACACUAAGACUCGAAAGCGUGGGGAGCAAACAGG